AUUAGAACGCUUUGGAAAGAGCGGCCAUAGACGGUGAUAGCCCGGUAUAAGUAAAGACAGUUACAGAUAGUAGUAUCCUGAGUAGUGCGGGGCACGUGAAACCCUGUAUGAAUUUGGCGGGACCAUCCGUUAAGGCUAAAUACUCCUGAGAGACCGAUAGUGAACCAGUACCGUGAGGGAAAGGUGAAAAGAACCCUGAAUAAGGGAGUGAAAUAGAACCUGAAACCAUACGCUUACAAGCGGUCGGAGCGAUAAGUGACGGCGUGCCUUUUGCAUAAUGAGCCUACGAGUUACUUUAACUAGCGAGGUUAAGGCCUUCAGGGCCGGAUCCGUAGCGAAAGCGAGUCUGAA
rnacentral:rRNA from 1 species